rnacentral:lncRNA from 1 species
AAUUUUUGGCCCAAUUCGGAUUAGUCUAUUAAGUCUAGGGACCCUUCUAGAUUCUUCUUUGGAACAAAAACAAAUAAAAAAGAUCCUAAGGACUUAACAAAAAAUAUGUAGGGACUAAUGGACAAAAUACACACAAAUACACCUAAACCUAGACUCUACAUAUAAAGUAGUGCUUAAAAUCUGUAAAAUAAACAAAAGGGGGUAACGCCUAUACUCUGAAAAUCUGGGCUGGAAAUACAGACCCUCCCUCCCCAUUGGAUUUAUCUUCUUCUUCACCUAUAUGAAGAUACCCGAACCUUAACAUACAAAAAAUAGAGAGACACUCUACGUGUGAGAGAUCCACCGCUGAAGUCCAGAUAGACCGGUCAUCGUCUCCUUCACACCUAUCUCUAUGUAGUUUCAUCAUCUAUACCACAAACGAACCCUCCUUCUGAACUUCUAGCUCGCUUCUUUCCAAACGAUCUCUCCAAUUUUCUGCCUCACCACCUAACAUCCACCAGCAACUCACUGGAAAGACGAGCUCCGAUUCUGCCUCACCAUCUGUUGGUUCGAAUUUUAUUUGAGGCGUCGUUGACUAUUCAGUUUCAGUUGAAGUUUCUCAAAGAGAUUCGAGCUUCAGAUUUCAUCUUUCAAUUCAGAUUUUUCUAAAAAAAGAGUGUGGUUUGAGGCUCAAUUUGGAUUUCCGAGCAGAUUCGAGGUCUCCGGAGGCGUCGAGGUACCGUUGUUUGUUUUCCGAUUCUAUUUUCGCGGAGUUCGUUUGAAGCUGUAUCGAUUUCUGACUGUAAUCAUCUCUUUGUUUCAAUCUGUGUAAUUGCUGCAUUCAAAUUAAUGGGAAAGCUAAUUUCAGGUUACUUCUAAUCUCAUUUAUUCUAUUUUGGAUACGAUGUUUGUGGUUGUAACUGUUGCACUCCUAUUUUAGGAUGAGUUUGAAUUUCAGGAGCUACUGAUGGGCGUUGAUUUAUUGACUUGGGACAUUUAAAUACAAAUAUUAUUUUUAUCUUAGUUUAGGCUCAAAAUAAUUGGACGAAUAAUUUGAUUGCUAAGCAGAUUAAGCAGCAAGCUUUCUCUUAUGCUAAUCCAAUAAAAAUAGCUAAACUUAUUCUAGUCAACUUCCUCACUUAAUGGAAGGAAAACUCAUAUGAGAGUCUAUGAGAUGAGCUUUCUCGUACAGGAGCUUAUGCCCAGCUGAUUUGCUUCAUUUUAUAUAUAUUUUAUAAUAAAUUCCAUAUUUGCAAAACCAUGCCCCUUGUUUGAUUGAUUUUUAUUCUUAGAAAUCAAGGUCCGUUGUUUAGCGAAUUACCAUGGCCCUUGCAAAAUUUCCAACGUAUAGUUAUUUAGUCACAUUAUUUUAACAAUUCCUAAACUCGGGUACGUAUUUAUGUGACCCAAAUCUAAAUCUCAACAAUAUUAGACUGCGGGUGCAUUUAUUUGACGUGGUUCAAGACCUGUUUUUAAUAAUGUUGCAAUCUUCCUAAAAAAUUAUUAAAAGCGGUUAUAAAGUAAAAUUGAACCGUAGGCUAAAAGAUGUAUUAAUAUCAGAUAAUAGGCCAAUUAUAAUAGUUGAGCGACCAUGCUAGAACCACGAAAUUCAGGAAUACCUAACACCUUCUCCCGGGUUAAUAGAAUUCCUUACCCGAAUUUCUGGUCUGCGGACUGUGAAACAAUCAGUCUUUUCCUUGAUUCGCGAUUCGAAUCGAUGACUUGGGAUACCAUAAAUUGUACCAAGUGGCGACUUUGAUUUUAAUAAAUAUGUUUCUAUUGUCACUUUAAGUUAGAAAAAAUUUCCUUAUACCAUUCCCUUCCGAGGGUGUAGGUAAAAAAAAGAGGUGUGACAAGCCCCGAAUACUGAAAUUAUGCGAAAAAGUGUAUACUUAUAAUUAUUUUUACAAAGUGGACAUAAGUUAAAACGUGACCAAAAAAUCGGGUAUAGAUGCAAAUCUCCUACUAGGAACUGUUCAUAUUCAGUAACCGAAAAAACGUAUGAAAUUUUUUUAUUGCGAUCUUUACAUAAAUAGCCAGUGAUAUUCAUUAUUUACUUUUUCUAGCCAUAUACAUAGAUCAUACAUUGAGUAAAGAUAGUUAUGCACAUAUAAUACAUAAAUUAUGCAUAUAUUAUAUAUCAACCGGCUAUUUAUAGUCUAAUUAUUUGGAUGAGCGACUAUUUGGGUUAAUUUAUAACAUACUACAUAAUGUGUACAUAUACAUAAAAUAUACAUUUUUCGACUAUUAUUUGAGUGCGGCUAUACAAUGUUAUUUUUUCUAUUGAAUUUGUACCCAUUUUUUAUAAUUUGAUACCCAAUUUUUGAAUAACUUCAGAUACACACUUUUCAGAUACACACUUUUCUCUUCUUCUUUGUGAUUAUCAAUUUUUCUUUUACUUAGUUGCAAAUUGAUUUUGUUAAAUUUGUUGUUGUUUUGAUAUAAUGAUUGAAAUUUUUUCUUUAUGAUAUUUGAAAGUUAUGUUUCACAUUUGAGUUUAUUCGGAGUAGAUUUGGGCAUUGAAUCGUAUAUGAAUUAUUGAAGUUCGAAGAACAAAUUUGUGUUUCAUAAUUUAAGAUUCGAAAUUUGAAGUUGCAUUCAAUAGAUUGAGCUACUUAAGAUUCGACUUUCUGAGGUUGCAUUUGAAAGAUAAAAGAAUUUUAGAUUAGAUUUCUCUUGGUUGCAUUGAAGAUAUUGAACUGUUUCAGAUUCGAAUUUCUGAAGUUGCCUUUGAAAGAUAGAAGAUCUUCUUAUUUGAUUUUUGAAGUUGUAUUGAAGAGAUUGAACUACUUCAGAUCCGAACGAGAAUACUUUUGUGACAUUUUAUGCAAUGUGAAUAUAACUUCAAUAGUGAUCCCAAAACUAAGUAUAUAUGAAAAUGCCUCCUUUUUAUUGGGCCUUUUUCAUGAUUAUCCAAGCAGCCUAAAAGGAUCUUAAAUGUGUUAAAAGCCUUAUUUAGAGAAAUUUAGACAGUAGUAUAAUUCUUUUUAAAUAAUAGGUAGUAUAUAAAACUGUGUAAGCAUAGUAAAAUCAUAUGAUAACACUUAAAAUCAGAGGAUGAGUUAUUUUAAAAGGGGUUAAAAACCCUAAUCUUGAAGACGAAGAUUCAUUUUGGAAAACAAAUCGAGAAAAACCUUUGAGGAAAACACUUAAAAGCUCAUAAUAUACACAGAUCUAAAACAGAUCUAAAAGAAAUUUGAAAAUCUUUAAAGUUAGGAUUUCUGAGAACCCAGAGAAGGUGAGAAAACCUUGAGAGGUUACUGGCUCUAGCCGAAAAAGUCAUAAUAUUACUCGAACGGUCAUGGAUGGCCGGAAAAUGGCAUGAGAAACCAUGGGAGAUGAGUGAGCCACCUAUGGUUAACUUGAAGGCCUCAAAACGAUGACACACGUUCAAGAAGGAGCCAUAAGGCUGGUAGGUAGCGAGGCUACCAUGGAUUCAGGCAAGGAGAUUGUCGGAGAAGGUGGAUAAGGUUCAUCGGGGAGGAGGGGAGAGGAGAAAGUUCUAGAAAGAACUAGAGAUAGAGAGAGAGAUGACGAUCAGUUGAGAGAGAAUGAGACGGGGAAAUGAGAGAUGAGAGGAUAUAUAUAUAUAUAUAGUUAGUUAGUUAGUUAGUUAGUUAGUUAGUUAGUUAUUAGUUAACUAACUAUUCUAAUUAGUUUUGACCACCCAAUUAAAUAUUUUUGUAAAAUAGUCACUUGGAUAUAUGGGUGUCUAAUGGUAUGGGUCAGCUCGCUUUCGGACCGGCCUAAAUUGGUUAAAACUAGAACUGGCCCGGCUCGGUACAAGGGGCUAGGUUGGGCUGGGUUAAACGGGUAAGGGGUUAGUCCGUUACUUAAAUCCUACCAGUUAAUCGGAUCGAUCAAACCUGUUCAACCAAAAGCUCUAUAGAAUCGAUUAAUCGGCUCGGCCUGUAUAUAUAGUUAGUUAGUUAACUAACUAUUCUAAUUAGUUUUGACCACCCAAUUAAAUAUUUUUGCAAAACAGUCACUUGGAUAUGGGUGUCUAAUGGUCUGGGUCAGCUCGCUUUCGGACCGGCCUAAAUUGGUUAAAACUAGAACUGGCCCGGCUCGAUUCAACGGGCUAGGUUGGGCUGGGUUAAAGGAGUAGGGGUUAGUCCGUUUUCUUAAAUCCUACCAGUUAAUCGGAUCGGUCAAACCUGGUCAACCAAAAACUCUACAGAAUCGAUUAAUCGGCUCGGCCCUGUCCAACGCGGUUUAAAGGCUAGAUUUUAAUUAUUUUUUUAUUUAUUAUUUAUGGUUUUAGAGUUUAAGGCAAUUCAAAAACCUUUGAAUUUACAUUUUUUUCAUUAAUUUACUUGUUAAAUUUAAACCUUUCAAUUUAGUAUGAAUUUAGAAAUAAAUGCAGCACUUGUAAUUUAUAUGUGCAAUUUUUUCCAUUUUCACUGUAUUCUUUAUAUUUUUUACAAUAUAUUAAUAUAAAUUACAAUAGUUAUAAAAAAACAAAAAAAAAACUAACCCGGCCCGGCUUGGCUCCUAGUAUCCGUAACUCUUACAGUUCACUUUUUACUCGAAUGAACCCGAACCUAUUAAGUUCGGUAACCCCUAACUCGUAACCGGCCGCUUCUAAACCGUACUGUUCAAAAUUUUUCCUAACCAAACCGACCCGUCCCACCCAUUCGACACCCUUACUUUGAUACCACUGAUGCAAUUUUCCCUUAUUCAUGAUCUUCUCUUUUAUCGUUUUAAUUUUCUUUUUAGUUUUUCAUUUUCACAACGAGUGAAGGUUGAUCUACUUUAAAAUAAAAUAAAGAGCCAGUGAAUUUAACGUUGUCAUUUUCUUUUAAGCAAAAGGAACAGAAGUUUUACUGAAAUAUCAAGGAUAAAAAGAAUUAUAUUCCCUUAUAAUAACACUGAAAUAGUAGUCACCAAGAGCUUGGCGUGAUGCUACCGCAACUGCUGAAGACAUAAUUAAGUAAAUAAUACUGUACUCUUUCAAAUAGCUUAUACUUUUAAAUAAGAUAGUUACAUAUUUUAAUAUGGUAUCAUAGUUGGCAGAGUCCUAUGUUCGAGUCUAAUUGUCAUCAAACGUUAAAAAUAUUUUCACGUGCUUGGCUCAUUAAAGUUAAGCCCACACGUGAGAACCGUGUUAAAAGCAUAAUCAAAUAAAUUAUACUUUCUCUAAUGACUUAAGCUUUUUAGAUGAGAUGAUUAUACAAGCUACAUCUUAAACCAUAAUAACUAAUAGAAACUUUGAUUGCAGGUGAAAUUUCAUCAUUACGAUAAGUCGUUUUCAAGCUUUCGUGUUUCUUCAUCAUUAAUGGAGGAG